UACAGAGGAUGCAAGCGUUAUCCGGAAUGAUUGGGCGUAAAGCGUCUGUAGGUGGCUUUUUAAGUCCGCCGUCAAAUCCCAGGGCUCAACUCUGGACAGGCGGUGGAAACUACCAAGCUGGAGUACGGUAGGGGCAGAGGGAAUUUCCGGUGGAGCGGUGAAAUGCGUAGAGAUCGGAAAGAACACCAGUGGCGAAAGCGGCUUCCUGGUCCGACACCGACGUUCAGGCACGAAAGCGUGGGGAGCAAACAGG
rnacentral:rRNA from 1 species